rnacentral:rRNA from 1 species
CAUAGCGACUAUCGUGGCAUAUCAAUAAGCGGAGGAAAAGAAACUAACAAGGAUUCCCUUAGUAACGGCGAGUGAAGCGGGAAGAGCUCAAAUUUGAAAUCUUCAAGGUUCUACCUUGACGAAUUGUAGUUUAUAGAAGUGUUUUCUGUUAGUGGAGUGGCAAAAGUUCUUUGGAAUAGGACAUCAUAGAGGGUGAGAAUCCCGUAUCUGACCAUUAUUUCCAGCUGUGUGAUACACUUUCAAAGAGUCGGAUUGUUUGGGAAUGCAGUCCAAAAUGGGUGGUAAAUUUCAUCUAAAGCUAAAUAUUGGCGAGAGACCGAUAGCGAACAAGUACCGUGAGGGAAAGAUGAAAAGAACUUUGAAAAGAGAGUUAAACAGUACGUGAAAUUGUCAAAAGGGAAGCGUUUGACACCAGUGUUGUUUAGUUGAAAAUCAAUUCAAUAAUUUUUGAUUUUAAGUAGUAUUGACUUCAUCAGCUUGCUGCUUUCUUUUCGGAAAUUAUUGAAUGCACUUUUCAGUUAACAAGUCAACAUCAAUUUCUUUUGUUGUAAAAGGGUAUGAGGAAGGUGGCUUUCUUUUCGGAGAAAGUGUUUAUAGCCUUGUACCUCUGCAAUCGGAGAGAUUGAGGUCUGCAGCGUAGAUCCUUCGGGGUUAGAUACAUUUGUGCUAAGUUAUGGCUUUUCAUAGACAACUUGUUGACUAUGUUAAGUCUUGUAGCUUACUCGCUUAUGCUAUUUUACCUACGCUUAGGAUGUUGACGAGACUGUCGAUCUC